rfam:Zea mays cultivar B73 chromosome 7, whole genome shotgun sequence.
GCCAUCGAUGACGACGAGCUGGUCUCGUACGUUCUUGCUGGCCUCGAUUUCGACUACAAUCCCAUCGUCUCAGCCCUAGUUGCCAGGACUGAGCCGAUCAGCGUGGGAGAGAUGUACUCCCAGCUGCUCUCCUUUGAGC